rnacentral:hammerhead_ribozyme from 1 species
AUCCAGCCGAUAUGUCCCAAAUAGGACGAAACGCGCCUCCUGGAU